rnacentral:miRNA from 1 species
CAAAAGUAGCAAUUACCUUUGC